rnacentral:rRNA from 1 species
UACGUAGGGUGCAAGCGUUGUCCGGAAUUAUUGGGCGUAAAGAGCUCGUAGGCGGUCUGUCGCGUCGGCUGUGAAAUCCCGAGGCUCAACCUCGGGUCUGCAGUCGAUACGGGCAAGCUAGAGUAUUGCAGGGGAGACUGGAAUUCCUGGUGUAGCGGUGAAAUGCGCAGAUAUCAGGAGGAACACCGGUGGCGAAGGCGGGUCUCUGGGCAAUAACUGACGCUGAGGAGCGAAAGCGUGGGGAGCGAACAGG